AGGUGGAACUUUACCUAGCGAGAUCACCGCAAUCUUUCAUUCAUCGUUGUUUGUGCGAAUCAAAGCAUGGCAUAACCAGAUCUAUUCCUCUGUGAUGAAAGCUACAUUGAGGUAAUCCUCGUUCCUCUAUUUGCUUUCCCUUUUUCUUUACAAGAUCUGAUUGGCAUGCAGGUAAUGGGCCCAAAGAGAGAUCUAAGGCUGUGAAUUUGUUGAGAAAGGGCAACAGAUCUGAGAAUUGUGCUGGAUACAUCUGGCCAUAGAUCCAAUGUCAAAACUCAUGGAAAGCAUAAUCCAGAUCUGACAGUCAGAUCGAAUUAAAUAAGAUAACAGAAACUGAUGAAUAUUCUGAGAGAAAAUAUAGGGAAUGAGGCUUACUAUAGGUAGGUAGAAAAGUAGAAAAUAAAGAAGGAAACAGGCUGUUGUUUGGUGUAUGUGAAAGAAAAUAGGAAUAGAGAAAAGUGGUCAUGUCAUAUGGGAGACAAAUUGUUUUAGACAUUAGACCUUGUGUUGUUUUUGGUAAUUACUAACAUGCUUUUGGGUGUGAAAAGAAAAUCCUAAGGUUCAAUUAGUAUUCACUCCAAGCAUCAAGAAUCGCAAGAAGGUAAGUCCAAGCAAAUGGAAUGAGUCGUCAGGCAACAAUCUCAAUAGAAAAUCAUUUGACCAAGCUUAAUGACCGUGGCAUUGAAGUAUUGAGGCAGCAAUUAAAUUCCAAGAUUCAACAGUGUUAAGUUGAAGCAGCAUAUAAAGACCAAGCUUCAACAGUGUUGAAUCCAAAAGGUAUAAGAGAAUCCAAGUCACUGAUGUGGAAUCCAAGCUAAGAAAGAUGGCAUGAUGGAUGGAGAUUAAGAGUUGCUGUUGACAGUCUACAAUGGGAAUUGCGGUCAUCCGUAAUGAUGAGAGACUGAAGAGCUUCAUAAACAAAUCAUAUUGAAGAACUCUUUGUUAGAUGAUCAAGAUUAUUUGAGUAUUAUUGCUUUAUUAUUAUGUAAUCUUGGCGUUGAUGUCCACAAGAAAGAAAACCUUAUAAAAGACUUAAAAAGACAAAA